GACGAACGCUGGCGGCGUGCUUAACACAUGCAAGUCGAACGGAAAGGCCCUGCUUGCAGGGUACUCGAGUGGCGAACGGGUGAGUAACACGUGGGUGAUCUGCCCUGCACUUCGGGAUAAGCCUGGGAAACUGGGUCUAAUACCGGAUAGGAGCCAUUUUUAGUGUGAUGGUUGGAAAGUUUUUUCGGUGUAGGAUGAGCUCGCGGCCUAUCAGCUUGUUGGUGGGGUAAUGGCCUACCAAGGCGGCGACGGGUAGCCGGCCUGAGAGGGUGGACGGCCACAUUGGGACUGGGAUACGGCCCAGACUCCUACGGGAGGCGGCGGUGGGGAAUAUUGCUCUAUGGGCGCGAGCCUGAUGCAGCGACGCCGCGGGGGGGAUGACGGCCUUCGGGUUGUAAACUCCUUUCGCUAGGGACGAAGCUUUUUGUGACGGUACCUAGAUAAGAAGCACCGGCUAACUACGUG
rnacentral:rRNA from 1 species